rnacentral:tRNA from 1 species
UGUAGUAAAGUAUAUGAUGUACGGAAGCUUUUGAUGUUUUAAGAAUAGGUUUGAUUCCUUUUAUUACAA